rnacentral:rRNA from 1 species
GCAGUCGAACGGUGAAGCUCCAAGCUUGCUUGGGGUGGAUCAGUGGCGAACGGGUGAGUAACACGUGAGCAACCUGCCCCAGACUCCGGAAUAAGCGCUGGAAACGGCGUCUAAUACUGGAUAUGAGAUCAGUCCGCAUGGGCAUGGUCUGGAAAGUUUUUCGGUCUGGGAUGGGCUCGCGGCCUAUCAGCUUGUUGGUGAGGUAAUGGCUCACCAAGGCGACGACGGGUAGCCGGCCUGAGAGGGCGACCGGCCACACUGGGACUGAGACACGGCCCAGACUCCUACGGGAGGCAGCAGUGGGGAAUAUUGCACAAUGGGCGAAAGCCUGAUGCAGCGACGCCGCGUGAGGGAUGACGGCCUUCGGGUUGUAAACCUCUUUCAGCAGGGAAGAAGCGAAAGUGACGGUACCUGCAGAAGAAGCACCGGCUAACUACGUGCCAGCAGCCGCGGUAAUACGUAGGGUGCGAGCGUUGUCCGGAAUUAUUGGGCGUAAAGGGCUUGUAGGCGGUUUGUCGCGUCUGCUGUGAAAAUCCGAGGCUCAACCUCGGACUUGCAGUGGGUACGGGCAGACUAGAGUGUGGUAGGGGAGACUGGAAUUCCUGGUGUAGCGGUGAAAUGCGCAGAUAUCAGGAGGAACACCGAUGGCGAAGGCAGGUCUCUGGGCCACUACUGACGCUGAGAAGCGAAAGCAUGGGGAGCGAACAGGAUUAGAUACCCUGGUAGUCCAUGCCGUAAACGUUGGGCGCUAGGUGUGGGACUCAUUCCACGAGUUCCGUGCCGCAGCUAACGCAUUAAGCGCCCCGCCUGGGGAGUACGGCCGCAAGGCUAAAACUCAAAGGAAUUGACGGGGGCCCGCACAAGCGGCGGAGCAUGCGGAUUAAUUCGAUGCAACGCGAAGAACCUUACCAAGGCUUGACAUAUACCGGU